GGAGAAGUGUCCGAGAGGCCGAAGGAGCACGAUUGGAAAUCGUGUAUGCGCCACAAGCGUAUCAUGGGUUCGAAUCCCAUCUUCUCCG
rnacentral:tRNA from 1 species